CAUUCGCGUUUCGCUAUUGACAAAAUUGUGUAUGCUAGACAAUAAUUGUAUUGAUGUUCAUCCUUGUGUUGUAUAUUAAUAUAUGUGUUGCUACAUACCUAUUUUAAGUCUGAUGGUGGACGCGUGCAUUUUUCUUCUGGUAGGACGUUGCAAUCCGUUAGGAUAAUUAUCGAUCUAUGAUGUUUAGUGGUUUAGUUCAUUAAUACAUAUUUAUUUAUGAUAAUAUUAAUGAAGCCAUACAAUCUGAUCGAUUUACCUGACGGUAAUUUAAUGGUUAAGAGUCGCUAUAAAUUAUUAGCGUUAGAGGUUGAACAAGUAUAUAAAUUGUGUAAAGGCAAUAUUAUUAUUCGUAGUAGUGUUGUUCCCGGUAAUCGGUAUUUAUAUCAAUUCCGGGCCGUUUAUUUACUGUUUGUUUAACAUAUCUCUAACAGACUUUAUUAUUUUUUAAAUAAAACCAAUUGGCAACGCUAUAGCUUUGGGUAAUUUCAGGACCCGUCUUGAAACACGGACCAAGGAGUCUAGCAUGUUCGCAAGCCAUUGGGAUAUCAAACCUAUAGGCAUAAUGAAAGUAAAUAUUAUUUCAUGUUACAUGAAAUAAAGGGAAGAUAAAUAAAGUUUUCGUAUUUAUUAAUAUGUUGCUUUAUUUCGCAUUCCCGGGGC
rnacentral:rRNA from 1 species